rnacentral:rRNA from 1 species
GACGAACGCUGGCGGCGUGCUUAACACAUGCAAGUCGUACGGUAAGGCCCUUUCGGGGGUACACGAGUGGCGAACGGGUGAGUAACACGUGAGUAACCUGCCCACAACUUUGGGAUAACGCUAGGAAACUGGUGCUAAUACUGGAUAUGUGCUCCUGCUGCAUGGUGGGGGUUGGAAAGCUCCGGCGGUUGUGGAUGGACUCGCGGCCUAUCAGCUUGUUGGUGGGGUAGUGGCCUACCAAGGCGGCGACGGGUAGCCGGCCUGAGAGGGUGACCGGCCACAUUGGGACUGAGAUACGGCCCAGACUCUUACGGGAGGCAGCAGUGGGGAAUAUUGCACAAUGGGCGCAAGCCUGAUGCAGCAACGCCGCGUGCGGGAUGACGGCCUUCGGGUUGUAAACCGCUUUCAGCAGGGACGAAGCUUUUUGUGACGGUACCUGCAGAAGAAGCACCGGCUAACUACGUG